rnacentral:sRNA from 1 species
UGAUGCAUGGAACUAUAUGUCAAGGAGCAACCUUCGUGGAUCUUCAACCACAUCCUUGAUACGGCGCAAGAAGAGAACAGCUUCCCUACCAUCGAUCAGCCUAUGGUCAUACAUUAGUGCAAGGUACAUCAUUGGCCUUGCAAGGACACUGCCAUUCACAACCACAAGACGUUGAACAAUGGAAUGCAUUCCGAGGAUUGAUGACUGUGGAGAAUUAAUGAUAGGUGUACUGAUAAGGCUUCCAUAAACACCACCAUUUGAGAUGGUAAAGGUCCCUCCUGCCAUAUUGUUGAUGGACUGUGCCCCCUCAGUUGCCUUCUUUGCAAGGUUGUUUAUACCCUUCUCUAUGUCAGCAAAAUUCAUUGCAUCUAUAUCGUGGAUAACAAGCACCACAAGACCCUAAAACAAAUGACAUCAACACUGAUGUCAAUGUACUCCCUGUAGAUGAUGUCAUCACCAUCAAUGACAGCAUUAACAAUUGGUUGGUUUUGAAGCGCAGAAACAGCAGCCUGCAAAAGCAAACAUUAAGCCCAAUUUGACACCAUGCUUCUCAACAAACUGAUCUUUAUAAUCGGAAAGUAGCUUCAUUAGGUUAGUCAUGUCAACUUCAUUGAAUGUAAUUAGCAUUGCAAAAGUGUUCUGAGAAUCCUUCAAACGAUUUGCGAUACGCUUCCUAAGCCUUGGCAUUGGCACCUGCAUUUUGAUGGAGGGAGUUGUGGUUCUGAAGAGGAAGUUAGUUUUGAUUCGUGUGUUGUGCUGGACUCUACUUUUGGUGGUUUAGCCUCAACCUUGUUUUCCUUUGUAGAAGGUGGUUUUGUGCUAUGCUUCUGGGAGGUAUCUUCAGAUGAUUGUGUAUGUGUCUUGCUUUGAGCAGCAGACUUAGAUAUGAUAGCAACUUUGACACCUGGAGUAACAAUGCCACCUUCACUCGCAACGAACUGUAAUGCAUUGAUGUGGUUAGAAAAUGCACAGAAUCACCUUAUCAGUUUCGAUCUGAGCUAUGGGUUCAUCAGCUUCAACUCUAUCACCAGGUUCUGUAUCAGAUAGCAUGGUUCCAUCGGUUAUGGAUUCACCCAUGAAGGGAACAACAGCAUCAACCAAGUCACC